CGUGUAGGCGGUCAGGUAAGUGGGACGUGAAAUGCCUCGGCUCACCCGAGGAGCUGCGUCCCAAACUGCUUGGCUUGAGUAUGGGAGAGGAUGUGGGAAUUCCUGGUGUAGCGGUGAAAUGCGUAGAUAUCAGGAGGAACACCGGUGGCGAAGGCGCACAUCUGGCCCAAUACUGACGCUGAGGCGCGAAGCUAGGGGAAGGCAAACG
rnacentral:rRNA from 1 species